AGAGUUUGAUCAUGGCUCAGGAUGAACGCUAGCGGCAGGCCUAACACAUGCAAGUCGAACGGUAACAUGAGAGCUUGCUCUUGAUGACGAGUGGCGCACGGGUGCGUAACGCGUAUGCAACCUACCUUUUACUGAGGGAUAGCCCAGAGAAAUUUGGAUUAAUACCUCAUAGUAUCAUAAAUGUUCAUGCAUUAAUGAUUAAAACUUCGGUGGUAAAAGAUGGGCAUGCGUAAGAUUAGCUAGUUGGUAAGGUAACGGCUUACCAAGGCGACGAUCUUUAGGGGGCCUGAGAGGGUGGUCCCCCACACUGGUACUGAGACACGGACCAGACUCCUACGGGAGGCAGCAGUGAGGAAUAUUGGUCAAUGGACGAAAGUCUGAACCAGCCAUGCCGCGUGCAGGAAGACGGCCCUAUGGGUUGUAAACUGCUUUUAUAUAGGAAGAAACUUC
rnacentral:rRNA from 1 species